UUUUUCAGUAUAUAAAUACUUAAUCAAGUUAUCUUUAAUUUUAUAAUUAACAAAAACAUAUAAUAAACAAUUCAACAACUUAAAUAUAAUAUUAAAAUCAGGAACAUGUUUCAAAAAAAGGUACAUCUCUCUAAACAGAGAAACCACGCCCCAUCAGUCAUUAACAGAGAAAUCACGCCCCAACGGUCAUUAUCAGACGGAAACCACGCCCCUCCGGUCAUUAUCAUGUAAAAGUUCGUUAACGACCGGUUUUCUGGUCCGUUUUUUUCUGUUAAUGACCGAUGGAAUUUAUUACUGAAGAAUAAUGAAUGUCAUGUGACCCCUUGUUAUCCAAUAAGAGAAUCUUAUUCUCAACCGAUAUGAAAUAA
rnacentral:lncRNA from 1 species